UUGACCUCGGAUCAGGUAGGGAUACCCGCUGAACUUAAGCAUAUCAAUAAGCGGAGGAAAAGAAACCAACCGGGAUUGCCUCAGUAACGGCGAGUGAAGCGGCAAGAGCUCAAAUUUGAAAGCUGGCUCCUUCGGAGUCCGCAUUGUAAUUUGCAGAGGAUGCUUUGGGUGCGGCCCCCGUCUAAGUGCCCUGGAACGGGCCGUCAGAGAGGGUGAGAAUCCCGUCUUGGGCGGGGUGUCCGUGCCCGUGUAAAGCUCCUUCGACGAGUCGAGUUGUUUGGGAAUGCAGCUCUAAAUGGGUGGUAAAUUUCAUCUAAAGCUAAAUACUGGCCGGAGACCGAUAGCGCACAAGUAGAGUGAUCGAAAGAUGAAAAGCACUUUGAAAAGAGAGUUAAACAGCACGUGAAAUUGUUGAAAGGGAAGCGCUUGCGACCAGACUCGCCCGCGGGGUUCAGCCGGCAUUCGUGCCGGUGUACUUCCCCGUGGGCGGGCCAGCGUCGGUUUGGGCGGCCGGUCAAAGGCCCCUGGAAUGUAGUGCCCUCCGGGGCACCUUAUAGCCAGGGGUGCAAUGCGGCCAGCCUGGACCGAGGAACGCGCUUCGGCACGGACGCUGGC
rnacentral:rRNA from 1 species